rnacentral:rRNA from 1 species
GACGAACGCUGGCGGCGUGCUUAACACAUGCAAGUCGAACGGAAAGGCCCUGCUUUUGUGGGGUGCUCGAGUGGCGAACAGGUGAGUAACACGUGAGUAACCUGCCCUUGACUUUGUGAUAACUUCAGGAAACUGGGGCGAAUACCGGAUAGGAGCUCUUGCUGCAUGGUGGGGGUUGGAAAGUUUCGGUGGUUGGGGAUGGACUCGCGGCUUAUCGGCUUGUUGGUGGGGUAGUGGCUUACCAAGGCUUUGACGGGUAGCCGGCCUGAGAGGGUGACCGGCCACAUUGGGACUGAGAUACGGCCCAGACUCCUACGGGAGGCAGCAGUGGGGAAUAUUGCACAAUGGGCGGAAGCCUGAUGCAGCAACGCCGCGUGCGGGAUGACGGCCUUCGGGUUGUAAACCGCUUUCGCCUGUGACGAAGCGUGAGUGACGGUAAUGGGUAAAGAAGCACCGGCUAACUACGUG